CGAACGCUGGCGGCGUGCUUAACACAUGCAAGUCGAACGCGAAAGGGACUUCGGUCCUGAGUAAAGUGGCGGCACGGGUGAGUAACGCGUAGAUAACCUGUCUUCAUGUCUGGAAUAAUACGCCGAAAGGGGUACUAAUACCGGAUAUUCUUGCUUUUCAUAAGUUAUGCAAGCAAAGGUGGCCUCUGCAUAUGCUACUGCAUGAAGAGGGGUCUGCGUACCAUUAGCUAGUAGGUGGGGUAAUGGCCUACCUAGGCGACGAUGGUUAGCGGGUCUGAGAGGAUGAUCCGCCACACUGGCACUGGAACACGGGCCAGACUCCUACGGGAGGCAGCAGUGAGGAAUAUUGCGCAAUGGGGGAAACCCUGACGCAGCGACGCCGCGUGAGUGAAGGAAGGCCUUCGGGUCGUAAAGCUCUGUCAAGAGGAAAGAAGUGUACAAUGGCUAAUACCUGUUGUAUUUGACGGUACCUCUAAAGGAAGCACCGGCUAACUCCGUGCCAGCAGCGGC
rnacentral:rRNA from 1 species